CAAACAAAAAAAAGGAAUGCAACACGAGGACUUCCCAGGAGGUCACCCAUCCUAGUACUACUCUCGCCCAAGCACGCUUAACUUCGGAGUUCUGAUGGGAUCCGGUGCUCUAGUGCUGGUAUGAUCGCAUCCGACAUACCGUGCGUUCUCCUCCCCUUUAUGCCCGCGCCUCCGUGUACGGCCCGCCCAUAGCUCCUUCGACGGCGCCGCCUAGGAACGCGGAGAAAAUAUGACAAAGGAACGGCCAAAAAUAAAAAGAAAGACCUUUCUUUUGAAAAAACAAACAAAAAAAAAGGAAUGCAACACGAGGACUUCCCAGGAGGUCACCCAUCCUAGUACUACUCUCGCCCAAGCACGCUUAACUUCGGAGUUCUGAUGGGAUCCGGUGCUUUAGUGCUGGUAUGAUCGCAUCCGACAUACCGUGCGUUCUCCUCCCCUUUAUGCCCGCGCCUCCGUGUACGGCCCGCCCAUAGCUCCUUCGACGGCGCCGCCUAGGAACGCGGAGAAAAUAUGACAAAGGAACGGCCAAAAAUAAAAAGAAAGACCUUUCUUUUGAAAAAACAAACAAAUAAAAGGAAUGCAACACGAGGACUUCCUAGGAGGUCACCCAUCCUAGUACUACUCUCGCCCAAGCACGCUUAACUUCGGAGUUCUAAUGGGAUCCGGUGCUUUAGUGCUGGUAUGAUCGCAUCCGACAUACCGUGCGUUCUCCUCCCCUUUAUGCCCGCGCCUCCGUGUACGGCCCGCCCAUAGCUCCUUCGACGGCGCCGCCUAGGAACGCGGAGAAAAUAUGACAAAGGAACGGCCAAAAAUAAAAAGAAAGACCUUUCUUUUGAAAAAACAAACAAAAAAAAGGAAUGCAACACGAGGACUUCCCAGGAGGUCACCCAUCCUAGUACUACUCUCGCCCAAGCACGCUUAACUUCGGAGUUCUGAUGGGAUCCGGUGCUUUAGUGCUGGUAUGAUCGCAUCCGACAUACCGUGCGUUCUCCUCCCCUUUAUGCCCGCGCCUCCGUGUACGGCCCGCCCAUAGCUCCUUCGACGGCGCCGCCUAGGAACGCGGAGAAAAUAUGACAAAGGAACGGCCAAAAAUAAAAAGAAAGACCUUUCUUUUGAAAAAACAAACAAAAAAAAGGAAUGCAACACGAGGACUUCCCAGGAGGUCACCCAUCCUAGUACUACUCUCGCCCAAGCACGCUUAACUUCGGAGUUCUGAUGGGAUCCGGUGCUUUAGUGCUGGUAUGAUCGCAUCCGACAUACCGUGCGUUCUCCUCCCCUUUAUGCCCGCGCCUCCGUGUACGGCCCGCCCAUAGCUCCUUCGACGGCGCCGCCUAGGAACGCGGAGAAAAUAUGACAAAGGAACGGCCAAAAAUAAAAAGAAAGACCUUUCUUUUGAAAAAACAAACAAAAAAAAGGAAUGCAACACGAGGACUUCCCAGGAGGUCACCCAUCCUAGUACUACUCUCGCCCAAGCACGCUUAACUUCGGAGUUCUGAUGGGAUCCGGUGCUUUAGUGCUGGUAUGAUCGAAUCCGACAUACCGUGCGUUCUCCUCCCCUUUAUGCCCGCGCCUCCGUGUACGGUCCGCCCAUAGCUCCUUCGACGGCGCCGCCUAGGAACGCGGAGAAAAUAUGACAAAGGAACGGCCAAAAAUAAAAAGAAAGACCUUUCUUUUGAAAAAACAAACAAAUAAAAGGAAUGCAACACGAGGACUUCCCAGGAGGUCACCCAUCCUAGUACUACUCUCGCCCAAGCACGCUUAACUUCGGAGUUCUGAUGGGAUCCGGUGCUUUAGUGCUGGUAUGAUCGCAUCCGACAUACCGUGCGUUCUCCUCCCCUUUAUGCCCGCGCCUCCGUGUACGGCCCGCCCAUAGCUCCUUCGACGGCGCCGCCUAGGAACGCGGAGAAAAUAUGACAAAGGAACGGCCAAAAAUAAAAAGAAAGACCUUUCUUUUGAAAAAACAAACAAAUAAAAGGAAUGCAACACGAGGACUUCCCAGGAGGUCACCCAUCCUAGUACUACUCUCGCCCAAGCACGCUUAACUUCGGAGUUCUGAUGGGAUCCGGUGCUUUAGUGCUGGUAUGAUCGCAUCCGACAUACCGUGCGUUCUCCUCCCCUUUAUGCCCGCGCCUCCGUGUACGGCCCGCCCAUAGCUCCUUCGACGGCGCCGCCUAGGAACGCGGAGAAAAUAUGACAAAGGAACGGCCAAAAAUAAAAAGAAAGACCUUUCUUUUGAAAAAACAAACAAAAAAAAGGAAUGCAGCACCAGGACUUCCCGGAAGGUCACCCAUCCAAAUACAACUCUCGCCGAACCACGUUUAACUUCGAAUUUCUAAUGGAAUCCGGGGCUUUAGAGCUGGAAUGAUCGCAUCCGACAUACCGUGCGUUCUCCUCCCCUUUAUGCCCGCGCCUCCGUGUACGGCCCGCCCAUAGCUCCUUCGACGGCGCCGCCUAGGAACGCGGAGAAAAUAUGACAAAGGAGCGGCCAAAAAUAAAAAGAAAGACCUUUCUUUUGAAAAAACAAACAAAUAAAAGGAAUGCAACACGAGGACUUCCUAGGAGGUCACCCAUCCUAGUACUACUCUCGCCCAAGCACGCUUAACUUCGGAGUUCUGAUGGGAUCCGGUGCUUUAGUGCUGGUAUGAUCGCAUCCGACAUACCGUGCGUUCUCCUCCCCUUUAUGCCCGCGCCUCCGUGUACGGCCCGCCCAUAGCUCCUUCGACGGCGCCGCCUAGGAACGCGGAGAAAAUAUGACAAAGGAACGGCCAAAAAUAAAAAGAAAGACCUUUCUUUUGAAAAAACAAACGCCUCCGUGUACGGCCCGCCCAUAGCUCCUUCGACGGCGCCGCCUAGGAACGCGGAGAAAAUAUGACAAAGGAACGGCCAAAAAUAAAAAGAAAGACCUUUCUUUUGAAAAAACAAACAAAAAAAAGGAAUGCAACACGAGGACUUCCCAGGAGGUCACCCAUCCUAGUACUACUCUCGCCCAAGCACGCUUAACUUCGGAGUUCUGAUGGGAUCCGGUGCUUUAGUGCUGGUAUGAUCGCAUCCGACAUACCGUGCGUUCUCCUCCCCUUUAUGCCCGCGCCUCCGUGUACGGCCCGCCCAUAGCUCCUUCGACGGCGCCGCCUAGGAACGCGGAGAAAAUAUGACAAAGGAACGGCCAAAAAUAAAAAGAAAGACCUUUCUUUUGAAAAAACAAACAAAUAAAAGGAAUGCAACACGAGGACUUCCCAGGAGGUCACCCAUCCUAGUACUACUCUCGCCCAAGCACGCUUAACUUCGGAGUUCUGAUGGGAUCCGGUGCUUUAGUGCUGGUAUGAUCGCAUUCGACAUACCGAUGCGUUCUCAUCCCCGUUAUGCGCCGCGCCUCUGUGUACGGCCCGCCCAUAGCUCCUUUGACUGCGCCUCGUAGGAUCGCGGAGAAUAUAUGACAAAGGCACGGCCAAACAUAAAACGAAAGACCUCUCUUUUGCAACAACAAACAAAAUAAAGGAAUGCAACACGAGGACUUCCCAGGAGGUCACCCAUCCUAGUACUAGUCUCGCUCAAGCACGCUGAUCUUCGGAGUUCUGAUGGGAUCCGGUGCUUUAGUGCUGGUAUGAUCGCAUCCGACAUACCGUGCGUUCUCCUCCCCUUUAUGCCCGCGCCUCCGUGUACGGCCCGCCCAUAGCUCCUUCGACGGCGCCGCCUAGGAACGCGGAGAAAAUAUGACAAAGGAACGGCCAAAAAUAAAAAGAAAGACCUUUCUUUUGAAAAAACAAACAAAAAAAAGGAAUGCAACACGAGGACUUCCCAGGAGGUCACCCAUCCUAGUACUACUCUCGCCCAAGCACGCUUAACUUCGGAGUUCUGAUGGGAUCCGGUGCUUUAGUGCUGGUAUGAUCGCAUCCGACAUACCGUGCGUUCUCCUCCCCUUUAUGCCCGCGCCUCCGUGUACGGCCCGCCCAUAGCUCCUUCGACGGCGCCGCCUAGGAACGCGGAGAAAAUAUGACAAAGGAACGGCCAAAAAUAAAAAGAAAGACCUUUCUUUUGAAAAAACAAACAAAUAAAAGGAAUGCAACACGAGGACUUCCCAGGAGGUCACCCAUCCUAGUACUACUCUCGCCCAAGCACGCUUAACUUCGGAGUUCUGAUGGGAUCCGGUGCUUUAGUGCUGGUAUGAUCGCAUCCGACAUACCGUGCGUUCUCCUCCCCUUUAUGCCCGCGCCUCCGUGUACGGCCCGCCCAUAGCUCCUUCGACGAGCCCGCCUAGGAACGCGGAGAAAAUAUGACAAAGGAACGGCCAAAAAUAAAAAGAAAGACCUUUCUUUUGAAAAAACAAACAAAUAAAAGGAAUGCAACACGAGGACUUCCCAGGAGGUCACCCAUCCUAGUACUACUCUCGCCCAAGCACGCUUAACUUCGGAGUUCUGAUGGGAUCCGGUGCUUUAGUGCUGGUAUGAUCGCAUCCGACAUACCGUGCGUUCUCCUCCCCUUUAUGCCCGCGCCUCCGUGUACGGCCCGCCCAUAGCUCCUUCGACGGCGCCGCCUAGGAACGCGGAGAAAAUAUGACAAAGGAACGGCCAAAAAUAAAAAGAAAGACCUUUCUUUUGAAAAAACAAACAAAAAAAAGGAAUGCAACACGAGGACUUCCCAGGAGGUCACCCAUCCUAGUACUACUCUCGCCCAAGCACGCUUAACUUCGGAGUUCUGAUGGGAUCCGGUGCUUUAGUGCUGGUAUGAUCGCAUCCGACAUACCGUGCGUUCUCCUCCCCUUUAUGCCCGCGCCUCCGUGUACGGCCCGCCCAUAGCUCCUUCGACGGCGCCGCCUAGGAACGCGGAGAAAAUAUGACAAAGGAACGGCCAAAAAUAAAAAGAAAGACCUUUCUUUUGAAAAAACAAACAAAUAAAAGGAAUGCAACACGAGGACUUCCCAGGAGGUCACCCAUCCUAGUACUACUCUCGCCCAAGCACGCUUAACUUCGGAGUUCUGAUGGGAUCCGGUGCUUUAGUGCUGGUAUGAUCGCAUCCGACAUACCGUGCGUUCUCCUCCCCUUUAUGCCCGCGCCUCCGUGUACGGCCCGCCCAUAGCUCCUUCGACGGCGCCGCCUAGGAACGCGGAGAAAAUAUGACAAAGGAACGGCCAAAAAUAAAAAGAAAGACCUUUCUUUUGAAAAAACAAACAAAUAAAAGGAAUGCAACACGAGGACUUCCCAGGAGGUCACCCAUCCUAGUACUACUCUCGCCCAAGCACGCUUAACUUCGGAGUUCUGAUGGGAUCCGGUGCUUUAGUGCUGGUAUGAUCGCAUCCGACAUACCGUGCGUUCUCCUCCCCUUUAUGCCCGCGCCUCCGUGUACGGUCCGCCCAUAGCUCUUUAGUUGGCGCCUCCUAGGAACGCGGAGAAAAUAUGACAAAGGAACGGCCAAAAAUAAAAAGAAAGACCUUUCUUUUGAAAAAACAAACGCCUCCGUGUACGGCCCGCCCAUAGCUCCUUCGACGGCGCCGCCUAGGAACGCGGAGAAAAUAUGACAAAGGAACGGCCAAAAAUAAAAAGAAAGACCUUUCUUUUGAAAAAACAAACAAAAAAAAGGAAUGCAACACGAGGACUUCCCAGGAGGUCACCCAUCCUAGUACUACUCUCGCCCAAGCACGCUUAACUUCGGAGUUCUGAUGGGAUCCGGUGCUUUAGUGCUGGUAUGAUCGCAUCCGACAUACCGUGCGUUCUCCUCCCCUUUAUGCCCGCGCCUCCGUGUACGGCCCGCCCAUAGCUCCUUCGACGGCGCCGCCUAGGAACGCGGAGAAAAUAUGACAAAGGAACGGCCAAAAAUAAAAAGAAAGACCUUUCUUUUGAAAAAACAAACAAAUAAAAGGAAUGCAACACGAGGAGUUCCCAGGAGGUCACCCAUCCUAGUACUACUCUCGCCCAAGCACGCUUAACUUCGGAGUUCUGAUGGGAUCCGGUGCUUUAGUGCUGGUAUGAUCGCAUCCGACAUACCGUGCGUUCUCCUCCCCUUUAUGCCCGCGCCUCCGUGUACGGCCCGCCCAUAGCUCCUUCGAUGGCGCCGCCUAGGAACGCGGAGAAAAUAUGACAAAGGAACGGCCAAAAAUAAAAAGAAAGACCUUUCUUUUGAAAAAACAAACGCCUCCGUGUACGGCCCGCCCAUAGCUCCUUCGACGGCGCCGCCUAGGAACGCGGAGAAAAUAUGACAAAGGAACGGCCAAAAAUAAAAAGAAAGACCUUUCUUUUGAAAAAACAAACAAAAAAAAGGAAUGCAACACGAGGACUUCCCAGGAGGUCACCCAUCCUAGUACUACUCUCGCCCAAGCACGCUUAACUUCGGAGUUCGGAUGGGAUCCGGUGCUUUAGUGCUGGUAUGAUCGCAUCCGACAUACCGUGCGUUCUCCUCCCCUUUAUGCCCGCGCCUCCGUGUACGGCCCGCCCAUAGCUCCUUCGACGGCGCCGCCUAGGAACGCGGAGAAAAUAUGACAAAGGAACGGCCAAAAAUAAAAAGAAAGACCUUUCUUUUGAAAAAACAAACAAAUAAAAGGAAUGCAACACGAGGACUUCCCAGGAGGUCACCCAUCCUAGUACUACUCUCGCCCAAGCACGCUUAACUUCGGAGUUCUGAUGGGAUCCGGUGCUUUAGUGCUGGUAUGAUCGCAUCCGACAUACCGUGCGUUCUCCUCCCCUUUAUGCCCGCGCCUCCGUGUACGGCCCGCCCAUAGCUCCUUCGACGGCGCCGCCUAGGAACGCGGAGAAAAUAUGACAAAGGAACGGCCAAAAAUAAAAAGAAAGACCUUUCUUUUGAAAAAACAAACAAAAAAAAGGAAUGCAACACGAGGACUUCCCAGGAGGUCACCCAUCCUAGUACUACUCUCGCCCAAGCACGCUUAACUUCGCAGUUCUGAUGGGAUCCGGUGCUUUAGUGCUGGUAUGAUCGCAUCCGACAUACCGUGCGUUCUCCUCCCCUUUAUGCCCGCGCCUCCGUGUACGGCCCGCCCAUAGCUCCUUCGACGGCGCCGCCUAGGAACGCGGAGAAAAUAUGACAAAGGAACGGCCAAAAAUAAAAAGAAAGACCUUUCUUUUGAAAAAACAAACGGCUCCGUGUACGGCCCGCCCAUAGCUCCUUCGACGGCGCCGCCUAGGAACGCGGAGAAAAUAUGACAAAGGAACGGCCAAAAAUAAAAAGAAAGACCUUUCUUUUGAAAAAACAAACAAAA
rnacentral:lncRNA from 1 species